rnacentral:misc_RNA from 1 species
GCGAGGCCGCCAAUUUGGGACAGUUCUACCCCGCUCAACAUCCACAAGUACCCUUCUGCCAUCAAGCUUCCUCCCAUCAGCUUGCUUAUAUGCAGCUUUCAUGUCUCGAGUAUGCAUAUAUUCAAUGAAAGCAUAGCCUCUAGGUUUAUUCGUCAUUUUAUCAGUUAUCAGUCGGACCCGUUUUAUUGGUCCAUAAGACUCAAACUCCCUUUUAAUUCUACUCUCGGUUGUCUCAUAAUUAAGCCUAGCAACGAACAAAGUCUUGUAUGGAUCUCCUAUAAUAUUUGAGUCAUUAUUUGGAUCAUAUUUCUGAAGCUCCUCGGCAGCCUUCUCAGCACCUUUCUCUAAUCGUAACUUGUGAAUUCUAGCCCUUCUUUGUGCAGGAGUUUCACCUUCCUGGACGGGCCGAGAAUACUCAGGAUCCCCAGGCUCAGCAAAUUGACUGACAAACUGGGCCAUGCCAGCAUAUGGUGGGCAUUUUCUCUUCUCUGGAGGGGGUUUA